AGUAAUGUCUGGGAAACUGCCUGAUGGAGGGGGAUAACUGCUGGAAACGGCAGCUAAUACCGCAUAACGUCGCAAGACCAAAGAGGGGGACCUUCGGGCCUCUUGCCAUCGGAUGUGCCCAGAUGGGAUUAGCUAGUAGGUGGGGUAACGGCUCACCUAGGCGACGAUCCCUAGCUGGUCUGAGAGGAUGACCAGCCACACUGGAACUGAGACACGGUCCAG
rnacentral:rRNA from 1 species